AGGUGAGUGAGUUUUGGUCCUCCUGCGACAUCAGGAUUAUUUUGUAUAUUUGUGAAAGUGUGCGUUUAAGUGUAUUUGUGGCGUUGCAUAGUUUUUCAAAGGGAGUUAGGUCCAUAGGGGCCCAGUGAGGGAGUACUUUUUCGGUCAAGGUAUGUUUCAAUUGGGAGCAUCUUAGUACUUCUGUUAGUGAAUGGUGUCCUACAUGUCUCUGCAGAAUUAUUAUUUGGGGGUGAGUCUGUUAGUAUGUCUCUAAGUUGUGGGUCUGGUUUCCCCGCUAGUUUCGUUAGCGUUUUCACCCCUUUCCCUCCCAGGAUGUCCAGGUUAUGUGCUAC